rnacentral:rRNA from 1 species
AACGAACGCUGGCGGCAGGCUUAACACAUGCAAGUCGAGCGGGCCCGCAAGGGUCAGCGGCGGACGGGUUAGUAACGCGUGGGAACGUGCCUUUUGCUUCGGAAUAGCCCUGGGAAACUGGGGGUAAUACCGGAUGUGCCCCGAGGGGGAAAGAUUUAUCGGCAAGAGAUCGGCCCGCGGUGGAUUAGGUAGUUGGUGGGGUAACGGCCCACCAAGCCGACGAUCCAUAGCGGGUUUGAGAGGAUGAUCAGCAACACUGGGACUGAGACACGGCCCAGACUCCUACGGGAGGCAGCAGUGGGGAAUCUUAGACAAUGGGCGCAAGCCUGAUCUAGCCAUGCCGCGUGGGUGAUGAAGGCCUUAGGGUCGUAAAGCCCUUUCGCCGGGGAAGAUAAUGACGGUACCCGGUAAAGAAACCCCGGCUAACUCCGUGCCAGCCGCCGCAGUAA